rnacentral:rRNA from 1 species
GACGAACGCUGGCGGCGUGCCUAAUACAUGCAAGUAGAACGCUGAAGGAGGAGCUUGCUUCUCUGGAUGAGUUGCGAACGGGUGAGUAACGCGUAGGUAACCUGCCUGGUAGCGGGGGAUAACUAUUGGAAACGAUAGCUAAUGCCGCAUAAUAGUAGAUGUUGCAUGACAUUUGCUUAAAAGGUGCAAUUGCAUCACUACCAGAUGGACCUGCGUUGUAUUAGCUAGUUGGUGGGGUAACGGCUCACCAAGGCGACGAUACAUAGCCGACCUGAGAGGGGGAACGGCCAAACUGGGAAUGGGACACGGCCCAGAAUCCUACGGGAGGAAGCAGUAGGGAAUCUUCGGCAAUGGACGGAAGGCUGAACGAGCAACGCCGCGUGAGGGAAGAAGGUUUUCGGAUCGGAAAGCUCUGUUGUAAGAGAAGAAAGAGUGGGAGAGUGGAAAGUGCACACUGUGACGGUAUCUUACCAGAAAGGGACGGCUAACUACGUG